AUCCGACUCCCUAUCCCACCCACCGGAGCUGCAGAAAUGGAGCAUCCUAUCGCUGCAAGGACUCUUUCUUCCAUGUUCAUGGUUGUCCUCCUCUUGUCACCUCUCCUGAUCCUUCCAUCCGACUCGAGGGAAGUCCCAAGUCACACAGGUGAAGGAGGCACGGCGAGUCUACGGAGCUUUGCGAGCUUGGCAAGACGGACAGAGUUUGCACCACCUUCGCCAACAGCUAACAGCAACGAUUCUCCUGGUAAAGGCUGAUCCGAGUGAGGCCACGCAGCUUCUGCAACUACUGCUCUUCUUCUUCUUCUUCUUCUUCUUCUUCUUCUUCUUCUUGAUGCUGUGCUGUGUUUCAUCCUCACCAUGCCCUCCUGUUCAUCUUGUCUCUCUCCAUAAUGCUCGUCUUCAGUUUGGUGUGUGUAAACAAUAAGAGAGUCUUACAUCGUCAUAGUUCCUAUUUAUUCUGCUCA